GCGCCUGUAGCUCAACGGAUAGAGCGUUCGCGUUCUAAGCGAGUGGUUGGGGGUUCGAUUCCCUCCAGGCGCGCUA
rnacentral:tRNA from 2 species